GCCUCCCUCCGCCGCCACUCACGACUACCUACCGGGCGGGCCGACGCGAGGUAGGGGUAAGGUACGUUGUCACAAUAGGAGGAAACGUACUGAUGCAGCGACGGCCGGCCGGUCGGAGGCGAUGAAGCCUUCGGGUGGUAAGCUCUUCGUCAAGGAAGAUAAUGACGGUACCUGCAGAAGCAGCUGCGGCUAACUACGUGCCAGCAGCCGCGGUAAUAC
rnacentral:rRNA from 1 species